GCGGCGCGCGCUGAGGAGCCAAUCAGACGCGAGCUCUCUUCGUGACCGCUGCAAGUGCACGGUUUCCCUUGCCGACCACAAGACGUUUCCUUAAAGUCACAAGAUCAUGACGGGCGGUGGCAAGAAGUUGGUGGACGUGGGUUACCGCGUCUUCUCGGGUUCCAUGAUGUUGCUCACCGUGUACGGCGGGUACCUGUGCAGCGUGCGCGUCUACCGUUACCUGCAGCGCCGCUCGCACCUGCGCGCCGAGGUUGAGCGGCUGGCGCUGGAGGAUCUGAAGGAGUGAAGAUGGUGGCGGGCACCCUGACGGGGGUGGGUGGGCAGAGUUCGUGACCUUUCCUGGGCGCCGAGAACGAGGCCGCCCCCUAAUGUGACGCUCGCCCUUCCCUGCUGAAUGUCUCCACUCGGCUCCCUUCGCCUGCGACCGGGUUUCCCCAAAGGCAUUCUGAGAAGAAUGUCUUAACCAAGAUUCAAGUUCUCCCAGAUGGACACAUCAUCGUUGUCAUUGUCAACAUCAUCAUACACCUCUCAGAUGUGUUUUGAGAUUGUGCCGCACUAAAACGUCGGGCAUCACGCGAAACAACAUGCGCUACAACCCAAACAUAUCGGAGAGCUGUACAACACAAUCACGAAAACCUACACGGUUGUAUUAUUGUCUUCGAUAUAAUAAUAAUAUAUUGACAAUUACUUAACCAGAAAAUUCUCCACGAGUCCUGCUUGCUUGGGAUAUUUGGCGAAUGGCUUCUUUUGAGUAGUCUUGCUUUGUUUGUGAGUGUACCAGAGUGGGAUGCUGCCAAGGUGUAAGGGGACUUACAAUCUACAGUUCGCCGGUUCGAUUCAAUCCCACGGCGCGGCAGUUGAAACAAUGGCGCCGGUUUCUUAAAUUAGCCACCUCUUCUUUGUUCUUUCGGUAAAGUCACGUAGAAGGGAAAUAAUAAAAUAAUAAAAAUUAAACAUAAUUAAAUACAAUUCUCACGACGUUUCGGCCACAACGCAAGCAGCCGUCCUCAGGUGAAGAACAACAGGUCUGUCGGAAAGACAGCGUCUGAAUGAACACGACCAAGCUUGGCAGCGUAUAUAUUUAAGCUGGGUUACGUGACUUUACCGAAAGAACCAAGAAGAUGAAUCCCUGCAGUCACGAAAGCUUUAAAUCGAAAUUUACCCACCUCUGUCCAUCAAGCAGCAUAAAUGGGUAAACCACAGUUGAUCGGCAGGUUGCAUGCGGUGAAAAAAAUAUGGCUAUCCCCUACCCAGGGCCACCACGGUGGCGAGAUGUUAACUACCUCGCUAGGUAUACAGGAGGUCGUGGGUUCGAUCUUGACCCUGACGCCUGCUGUGUAUUUGGAGUGUGCACGUUCUAUCUCCCCGUGGUUGUUUGGAUUUUUCUCCAGGUCCUCCGGUUUUCCCCUCCACGUUUAGAAUCAACGUGCUUUUAGAGUAAUUGGCUCCUAUAAAUUUCCACGUGAUACGCCACUUCGUUGAGCUAUGAUUUGUGAUGACCAGGUCGCUUCUAAAAAAAUAGCUGUAUAGCUCAGUGGGGCCUUACCUGGUAAAAUAAAAAAAAACUUUUAUGCUUCCAAGACAUCUGACCAGUGUGGAAGAAUAGGACAAAUAUCCUCAAGAGUUGUGCAAAGUCACGCUGAAAUUCUGCUUCACAGAAGGCCUGUCAGAAACCUGCUGGACAUGCUGCCAUUGUAGCUUCACAGCUUAUCAAGUACACGUCGUGCCCUUUAUAAAUCCACCGCUGGAUGUGGCCUCUGCAUGCCUUACGGAUUGUGAGGUCAUUUACCCAUACUUUACCACGCUGGUCUUGUGGAAAUGUGGGGAGCAAAAAUGUACAAAAUAACCGUGAAUUUUACUGCACUGCCUGCCACAUGGUCCUGCAGCCGACUGUGGCAACCUGGUGUGCAUAUUAGUUACUCAUCUGAGCACUAUCCAUGCCCGGUUGUGCUUAGCUUCCAAGAUAUUUGUUGGAAGAGCGAAUGCCGAUAGGAUCUCUCGUGGCGACGCUAGGGAUCUGUGGUUAAAAAUAUUUGCGGAAAGCCAGGGUUUCGUAUUAAUGUAUCAAGUGUGAUUGAUACACAAUCACCACACGACCAUCCAGAACUGAACUCUGGACGAAAAUUAUUCCUUUCUCAUCUCCUGAACUGUGUACUGUAAGUAUACGUUCUCUGUCAUUGGUUUUGCUAAUAAACAUAACUUAAUGGGA